UACGUAGGGGGCUAGCGUUGUCCGGAUUUAUUGGGCGUAAAGAGCUCGUAGGCGGCUUGUCACGUCGAUUGUGAAAGCCCGGGGCUUAACUCCGGGUCUGCAGUCGAUACGGGCUAGCUAGAGUGUGGUAGGGGAGAUCGGAAUUCCUGGUGUAGCGGUGAAAUGCGCAGAUAUCAGGAGGAACACCGGUGGCGAAGGCGGGUCUCUGGGCCGUAACUGACGCUGAGGAGCGAAAGCGUGGGGAGCGAACAGG
rnacentral:rRNA from 1 species